rnacentral:rRNA from 1 species
CCUACGGGUGGCAGCAGUGGGGAAUAUUGCACAAUGGGGGAAACCCUGAUGUAGCGACGCCGCGUGAGUGAAGAAGUAUCUCGGUACGUAAAGCUCUAUCAGCAGGGAAGAAAAUGACAGUACCUGACUAAGAAGCCCCGGCUAACUACGUGCCAGCAGCCGCGGUAAUACGUAGGGGGCAAGCGUUAUCCGGAUUUACUGGGUGUAAAGGGAGCGUAGACGGCAGCACAAGUCUGGAGUGAAAUCCCGGGGCUUAACCCCGGAACUGCUUUGGAAACUGUGCGGCUGGAGUGCAGGAGGGGUAAGCGGAAGUCCUAGUGUAGCGGUGAAAUGCGUAGAUAUUAGGAGGAACACCGGUGGCGAAGGCGGCUUACUGGACUGCAACUGACACUGAGGCUCGAAAGUGUGGGUAUCAAACAGGAGUAGAUACCCCUGUAGUC